rnacentral:rRNA from 1 species
UACGAAGGGGGGUAGCGUUGUUCGGAAUCACUGGGCGUAAAGGGUGCGUAGGCGGGUCUUUAGGUCAGGGGUGAAAUCCUGGAGCUCAACUCCAGAACUGCCUUCGAUACUGGGAGUCUCGAGUCCGGGAGAGGUGAGUGGAACUGCGAGUGUAGAGGUGAAAUUCGUAGAUAUUCGCAAGAACACCAGUGGCGAAGGCGGCUCACUGGCCCGGUACUGACGCUGAGGUGCGAAAGCGUGGGGAGCAAACAGG